AUUAUUCAUAACGGACUCUCGGCAACGNAUAUCUCGGCUCUCGCAUCGAUGAAGAACGUAGCGAACUGCGAUACUUGGUGUGAAUUGCAGAAUCCCGUGAACCAUCGAGUCUUUGAACGCAAGUUGCGCCCGAAGCUUCGGUUGAGGGCACGUUUGCCUGGGUGUC
rnacentral:rRNA from 1 species